rnacentral:tRNA from 1 species
AGGAUAAUAGUUAAUUAUAACAUUUGAUUUGCAUUCAAAAAGUGUUGGUUUUAUUCAACUUAUCUUA